GGAGGGGACGCAUAUCGGCUCGUGCAGAGGUUUGCUAAACCUCGACCCCGUAAGGGGUCAGGUGGGUUCGACUCCCACUCCCUCCG
rnacentral:tRNA from 1 species